GGAAGAACAGGCGUGUUUAUCGCUCUGGACCACGUUAUUCAGCACGUCAGAGAUCACGACUUUGUGGAUGUCUAUGGCCUCGUGGCGGAGCUCCGCAGUGAGAGGAUGUGUAUGGUACAGAAUCUGGCCCAGUACAUCUUCCUGCACCAAAGUACACUGGAACUUCUAAACAACAAAGGCAACAGCCAAUCCAUCUGGUUUGUCAGCUAUUCAGCUCUGGAGAAGAUGGACUCCCUCGAUGCCAUGGAAGGUGAUGUUGAGCUGGAAUGGGAAGAGACCACCAUGUAAAAGGCUGACUGAGGGGAUACCGUUGCCUGGGUGAGAGUGAGGCCUCUAGGGAAGACUCUGGACCAGCCGCCUCCACCACACAAAGCCGGGGGGAGGAGGAGGAGGUGGAGGAGGAGGAGAAAGAGGAUGUGAACGGCAAUGUUUGAACUGAGCUGUCAGUCAACUAAGACUUUGUUGCUCCAUUUCACCCUGCUUCUCAGUUGCAGUCCUCCAUUUAAUCAACUUCUUGUCCACUUGUUUUCAAAUCGAGUAAAAACAAAAGGCAGAUAGUGACAAAGAAUUUCAGAAAUUGUGGGAAGAAAAGAGUAAAGCAGUGAGCUGACAUUUGUAAGCCUAUAAUUUGAUUUCACUGAGUAUUGUAAGUAUUAUAUUGAUAUUACCUAUGUUUAUUCAGCCAAAAUGGUGUUUUAGUUUCAAUCUUGUUUUAAUUCUGACUAUGUUGAAGUGUUGGCAGCAUUUCUAUAUUGUUUAUGCUUUCUUAAGAGUGAUUUGCA